rnacentral:rRNA from 1 species
GUCUAUUACGGUGAUAUUUAUAGUCUAGCCUGCUCAGUGACAUAAAAGUGUUAAAUAGCCGCGGUAUCCUGACCGUGCAAAGGUAGCAUAAUCAUUAGUUUUUUAAUUGGAAACUAGAAUGAAUGGUUGGACAAGAAAAAAACUGUCUCUUUUAUUAAAAUUGAAAUUAACUUUUAAGUGAAAAGGCUUAAAAUUUACUAAGGGGACGAUAAGACCCUAUAAAGCUUUAUAAAUUGAGAGAUUUUAGAUAUUUUAUAUAUAAAUUUAUUUUUUGAUAAUUUAUUUGGUUGGGGCGACAAGGGUAUAAUUAUAAAUAACUGCCAUUAAUGUUUAUACAUAUAUUUUUGAUUUAAAUUUAAUAUAGUAGUUGAUCCUUUUUAAGGAUUUAAAGAUCAAGUUACUUUAGGGAUAACAGCGUAAUUUCUUCUGAGAGUUCUUAUCAAAGAAGAAGUUUGCGACCUCGAUGUUGAAUUAAAAUGUCUUUAUAGUGCAGCAGCUAUAAAAGAAGGUCUGUUCGACCUUUAAUUUUUU